GUUCGAUUAGCUCAGCUGGGAGAGCGUUGUAGGUAUACGAGAUGUACCUACAAAGGCCAGGAGUUCAACUCUCCUAUCGGACA